UCGCACUUCCAGUAGACCUAAAUCGCUGCGCUCAUGGAGCAUUCGGCUUUUUGGUGGGACAUAUGGUGCCAAAGCAAAAUGUGGUGGUUGCACCGAGUGCGGCCUUAAAGGCAGCGUUAUGUCGUCCCUAAUAUGACCAUAACCGCCCCACCUGUAGCUCCAAACAAU
rnacentral:snoRNA from 1 species